GUAUCCUACGGGACGCAGCAGUGGGGAAUAUUGCACAAUGGGCGCAAGCCUGAACCAGCAACGCCGCGUGAAGGAAGAAGGCCCUCGGGUUGUAAACUUCUUUUAUCAAGGACGAAACAAAUGACGGUACUUGAUGAAUAAGCCACGGCUAACUACGUGCCAGCAGCCGCGGUAAUACGUAGGUGGCAAGCGUUAUCCGGAUUUACUGGGUGUAAAGGGCGUGUAGGCGGGACUGCAAGUCAGAUGUGAAAACCAUGGGCUCAAACCAUGGCCUGCAUUUGAAACUGUAGUUCUUGAGGGGUGGG
rnacentral:rRNA from 1 species